UACAGAGGGGGCGAGCGUUUGUUCGGAAUUACUGGGCGUAAAGGGCGCGUAGGCGGCCUUCUAAGUCGAACGUGAAAUCCCCGGGCUCAACCCGGGAACUGCGUCCGAUACUGGGAGGCUUGAAUCCGGGAGAGGGAUGUGGAAUUCCAGGUGUAGCGGUGAAAUGCGUAGAUAUCUGGAGGAACACCGGUGGCGAAGGCGGCAUCCUGGACCAAUACUGACGCUGAGGAGCGAAAAGCCAGGGGAGCAAACGGG
rnacentral:rRNA from 1 species